rnacentral:rRNA from 1 species
AUGUCAUCUGCGAGAUCCUCCCGCUCCGGUGUGCGCUCUGGUCUGCGUGGCCGCUCUGUUGAGGUGCCACUGGUCGGAUGCCCCGAUUGUGGCGAACCCGUCAAGUGCUACCGCUCUAGCACCAAUGAGCACGAUGGUUGGGUUUUCUACAAGUGCACCCACGACAAUGUCACCUGUGAUUUCUGGCGCUGGGAGAUGGAAUAUGUGCAGCAUCUGGUUGAAACUAGAGUUCUUGUUGGUAAUGCUGCUGUAGAUGCAAUUGGUGCAGCUGAGGACAGGAGGGAAGAUCUUGAGAGGAAGAGGACUGAGUGGAUGGCAGGAAGAAACUUAGCUGGAAGGGCCUUGGCUGGAAGAGGCAUUGCAGGCAGGGUGAAUUUUGACAGCCCUAGUGAGAAAAACCUUGCUACCAAGCAGCAAGUUGCUAUGCUUCUUGGAUUAGGUAGAGAGAUCCUUCUAGUGCUAAAGCUUCUUAUGGCUAGUGUUGUGGUUCUUUGUGUGUUGUCUUUCAUCUUCAUUAUGAAGAAGUGA